rnacentral:rRNA from 1 species
GACGAACGCUGGCGGCGUGCUUAACACAUGCAAGUCGAACGGUAAGGCUCCAGCUUGCUGGGGUACACGAGUGGCGAACGGGUGAGUAACACGUGGGUGACCUGCCCUGCACUUCGGGAUAAGCCUGGGAAACUGGGUCUAAUACCGGAUAGGACCGCACCGUGAGGGUGUGGUGGAAAGUUUUUUCGGUGUGGGAUGGGCCCGCGGCCUAUCAGCUUGUUGGUGGGGUAAUGGCCUACCAAGGCGGCGACGGGUAGCCGGCCUGAGAGGGUGGACGGCCACAUUGGGACUGAGACACGGCCCAGACUCCUACGGGAGGCAGCAGUGGGGAAUAUUGCACAAUGGGCGGAAGCCUGAUGCAGCGACGCCGCGUGGGGGAUGACGGCCUUCGGGUUGUAAACUCCUUUCACCAUCGACGAAGGGUUUCUGACGGUAGAUGGAGAAGAAGCACCGGCUAACUACGUGCCAGCAGCCGCGGUAAUACGUAGGGUGCGAGCGUUGUCCGGAAUUACUGGGCGUAAAGAGCUCGUAGGUGGUUUGUCGCGUCGUCUGUGAAAUUCCGGGGCUUAACUCCGGGCGUGCAGGCGAUACGGGCAUAACUUGAGUACUGUAGGGAGACUGGAAUUCCUGGUGUAGCGGUGAAAUGCGCAGAUAUCAGGAGGAACACCGGUGGCGAAGGCGGGUCUCUGGGCAGUAACUGACGCUGAGGAGCGAAAGCAUGGGGAGCGAACAGGAUUAGAUACCCUGGUAGUCCAUGCCGUAAACGGUGGGCGCUAGGUGUGGGUUUCCUUCCACGGGAUCCGUGCCGUAGCUAACGCAUUAAGCGCCCCGCCUGGGGAGUACGGCCGCAAGGCUAAAACUCAAAGGAAUUGACGGGGGCCCGCACAAGCGGCGGAGCAUGUGGAUUAAUUCGAUGCAACGCGAAGAACCUUACCUGGGCUUGACAUAUACAGGAUCGCGCCAGAGAUGGUGUUUCCCUUGUGGCUUGUAUACAGGUGGUGCAUGGUUGUCGUCAGCUCGUGUCGUGAGAUGUUGGGUUAAGUCCCGCAACGAGCGCAACCCUUGUCUUAUGUUGCCAGCACGUUGUGGUGGGGACUCGUAAGAAACUGCCGGGGUUAACUCGGAGGAAGGUGGGGAUGACGUCAAAUCAUCAUGCCCCUUAUGUCCAGGGCUUCACACAUGCUACAAUGGUCGGUACAGUGGGUUGCCAGUCCGUGAGGGCGAGCUAAUCCCGCAAAGCCGGUCUCAGUUCGGAUCGGGGUCUGCAACUCGACCCCGUGAAGUCGGAGUCGCUAGUAAUCGCAGAUCAGCAACGCUGCGGUGAAUACGUUCCCGGGCC